CUCUCGUUUCUUGUUGGCAGCGAGCGUCCAGAUAAAAAACACCAGAGAAAUCACCUCUGCUUCCUUCACUCCCAUGCGCCGCCCGAUUUUUUCAUAUCCAUCCGGAUGAGACGGAGCUCGCAGCCGGCCGCCUCCGCUGCCGACGAGAGCACUCAGGGGGCUGCUGUCGUCGUGCUGGGGACUGGCCGUGGGAUUCACUUCAACCCGACGACAAUGGUGUUGGGCGGCAACGGCGAUGGCCGCCAUGGAUUUUUGCGGGAAACUUUUUUCGUUUUGCUACAAUCUGAGAGAUUGUGGUGUGUUGCUGCCAUGAUUUUUUUGCUACAUCAAUUUUUUUGCUGGAACCACUUUUGUAUUUUGCUGCAAUGAGCGAAGAUGUUUCUAGACGGCGACGACAGUGCUAGCCAUGAAUUUUCUGCUAGAACCUCUUUAGAUUUUUGCUGGAACCAUUUUUUAAUUUUGCUGCAAUUCUAGAGGAUGGUGGUGCCGCCACUGCGAUGAUUUUUGCUACAUCUAAUUUUUGCUGGAACCUCUUUUCAUUUUUGCUACAACCGGCAGUCAAAAAAGCUACAAGCGGUGAUCAAUUUUGCUACAAUGACGACGGGGUGGCGGCAUCCAUGAGCUAUUUUGCUGGAACCAGCAUAAUUUUUUGCUACUACCGGUGGGCAUUUUUGUUGUUACCAGCUAAUCUGAAGGUGAGUCCUUUUUCGCGAGCUCGUCGUCGGGGUGUUGCGACCAGCGACCGGCGCUACUCGGAGCUGCGGCUGUUCAACCGGAGCUGCCAUCGACAGUGAGGGAGCUGCAACGGCGGGCGGAAGUUGCUGCAUGCGUGGAUCCGACAAGGAAUACAUGAGGCCGGCGAUCGGAGGCGAGACCGGUGACCGGCGGACAUGGCGAGCCACCGGCGGUGCAGGCAGUGGGUGCAGGUUGGUACAGACGCACGGCCAGCCACGGGAAACGCGGGCUGUGGCAGACGACGGCGGCCAGAGUCAACUAUGCGUUUUCCCUCUGUUUUUCUAGCGAAGUGGGGUGAAGAAGCUACACAUCCAGCGGUUUAAAAAAGGCUAAUCAUACGGCCUAGCUUGGACCGGCCCAAAUCCUGGCCGGUGCACCGGCGCCUAGCAGCGCCCAUACAAGAAACUAGACUGUGAGAAAGAGAGAUGUGAGAAAGAGAGAUGUACGAGGAUAAACUUCAGGAAACGAACGAUCUAACAAGAAUAGAAAGAAAAAAUUUGCGUUGAAGAGAAGAUUGAUGGGGAUCUAGAAAUAGCAUUACCUUCUUCCACUAAUGGCGCCUAGCAGCCAAAAAUUAAAAUUACACGAGUGGGCGGGCCGCCGUCAUUCAUGGAAUGGCUGAUUUGUUGCCAAUUGGGGAGGAAGAGUAUUAAGCCGAGAAGACUGCACAGCGUGCUAAUCCAUCAAUUAUUUUUUGUUUCCUUUUAAAGAAUCAAUCGACUUUUUA
rnacentral:rRNA from 1 species